UACGUAGGCAGCGAGCGUUGUUCGGAGUUACUGGGCGUAAAGGGUGCGUAGGCGGUUGUUUUAAGUUUGGUGUGAAAUCUCCCGGCUCAACUGGGAGGGUGCGCCGAAUACUGAAUGACUAGAGUGCGGGAGAGGAUAGUGGAAUUCCUGGUGUAGCGGUGAAAUGCGUAGAUAUCAGGAGGAACACCGGUGGUGUAGACGGCUAUCUGGACCGUAACUGACGCUGAGGCACGAAAGCGUGGGUAGCAAACAGG
rnacentral:rRNA from 1 species